rnacentral:lncRNA from 1 species
CCACCGACAAGGCCAAGAAGCCACCAACGGUGGUUUUCUUUAAAUAUUAUUAUGACAUAAUUAUUAUGACAUAAUUAUUAUUAAAUAUUAUUAUAAUAUAAUUAUAAAUAUAAUUAUAAAAAUAAUAUGACAUGAAGUUAAAAAAAAAUAAAAAUCAUACCUACAGCCACGGAGAGUCGCACAGAGCUGCGGGGGUCAUCAACAGCGGUGCUAGAGGAAGGG